rnacentral:rRNA from 1 species
UACGUAGGGUGCAAGCGUUAAUCGGAAUUACUGGGCGUAAAGCGUGCGCAGGCGGUUCGGAAAGAAAGAUGUGGAAUCCCAGAGCUUAACUUUGGAACUGCAUUUUUAACUACCGAGCUAGAGUGUGUCAGAGGGAGGUGGAAUUCCGCGUGUAGCAGUGAAAUGCGUAGAUAUGCGGAGGAACACCGAUGGCGAAGGCAGCCUCCUGGGAUAACACUGACGCUCAUGCACGAAAGCGUGGGGAGCAAACAGG